UGGGGAAUAUUGGACAAUGGGGGAAACCCUGAUCCAGCAAUGCCGCGUGAGUGAUGAAGGCCUUCGGGUUGUAAAGCUCUUUCGCGCACGACGAUAAUGACGGUAGUGCGAGAAGAAGCCCCGGCUAACUUCGUGCCAGCAGCCGCGGUAAUACGAAGGGGGCUAGCGUUGUUCGGAAUUACUGGGCGUAAAGGGCGCGUAGGCGGCGCACUAAGUCAGGCGUGAAAGCCCCGGGCUUAACCUGGGAACUGCGCUUGAGACUGGUGUGCUUGAGUUCGGGAGAGGCGGGUGGAAUUCCCAGUGUAGAGGUGAAAUUCGUAGAUAUUGGGAAGAACACCAGUGGCGAAGGCGGCCCGCUGGACCGAAACUGACGCUGAGGCGCGAAAGCGUGGGGAGCAAACAGG
rnacentral:rRNA from 1 species